rnacentral:SRP_RNA from 1 species
UCGUGCUAGAUGGGGAGCGAGCGGUGCCCUGAACCCGCAAUCCGCUAUAGCGGGGUCGAAUUCCCGCUCCGAGGCGUGUUUUUUCGGGGCCGCCUGACGCAAGCGGCGGUGAAGGGCGGGUCCCUCGCAACGGGAACCUGUGAACCCCGCCAGGUCCGGGAGGAAGCAACGGUAAGCAGGCUCUCCCGUGUGCCGAGGCAAACCUGUCCAGAGCAGGCUACGCCAGUUACGCCCGGGGGAGUACGUCGACGGCGGGUGCACGG